rnacentral:rRNA from 1 species
AGUGAACGCUGGCGGUAGGCCUAACACAUGCAAGUCGAACGGCAGCACAGUGAGAGCUUGCUCUUACGGGUGGCGAGUGGCGGACGGGUGAGGAAUACAUCGGAAUCUACUUUUUCGUGGGGGAUAACGUAGGGAAACUUACGCUAAUACCGCAUACGACCUACGGGUGAAAGCAGGGGAUCUUCGGACCUUGCGCGAUUGAAUGCGCCGAUGUCGGAUUAGCUAGUUGGCGGGGUAAAGGCCCACCAAGGCGACGAUCCGUAGCUGGUCUGAGAGGAUGAUCAGCCACACUGGAACUGAGACACGGUCCAGACUCCUACGGGAGGCAGCAGUGGGGAAUAUUGGACAAUGGGCGCAAGCCUGAUCCAGCCAUACCGCGUGGGUGAAGAAGGCCUUCGGGUUGUAAAGCCCUUUUGUUGGGAAAGAAAAGCAGCAGGUUAAUACCCCGCUGUUCUGACGGUACCCAAAGAAUAAGCACCGGCUAACUUCGUG